rnacentral:lncRNA from 1 species
UAAGGUUAAAAGGAAGUAAAUAAAGAUGACUGGCGCCACCUAGAUUUUACAUCCAAGAUAAUAGGUAGAAGUAAAUUUAUUUUCUGCUGCCUUGGUAAUUAGAAAUUAAAAUUGAAAUAGUGAGAAAUGGGUGUUGGCCAUUGGUGUAGAAAUAGCGAGAAAUUUAGAGAAAACUCUCUAAGACAAGCAACAUUUUCUGUGCCAAAUUAAGCAAGGGGUGUUCUUCAUUCAUACUAUUUCGAAAAUUCCGGAACCGUUGAGUACCCUUAAAAAAUGCCAUUUUUCUAUCAAAAAAGCUGUUGCACCAUAUGUGUU